rnacentral:rRNA from 1 species
AACGAACGCUGGCGGCAGGCCUAACACAUGCAAGUCGAGCGAGGACUUCGGUCCUAGCGGCGGACGGGUGAGUAACGCGUGGGAACGUGCCCUUUGCUUCGGAAUAGCCCUGGGAAACUGGGAGUAAUACCGGAUGAGCCCUUUGGGGGAAAGAUUUAUCGGCGAAGGAUCGGCCCGCGUUGGAUUAGGUAGUUGGUGGGGUAAUGGCCUACCAAGCCGACGAUCCAUAGCUGGUUUGAGAGGAUGAUCAGCCACACUGGGACUGAGACACGGCCCAGACUCAUACGGGAGGCAGCAGUGGGGAAUCUUAGACAAUGGGGGAAACCCUGAUCGAGCCAUGCCGCGUGAGCGAUGAAGGCCUUAGGGUUGUAAAGCUCUUUCAGCUGGGAAGAUAAUGACGGUACCAGCAGAAGAAGCCCCGGCUAACUCCGUG